GAAAAAGUUUAGAGAUAAAAGAGCUAUCUGAGACCCAUUGAAUUUCCAAAAGCAAUGCAGGUGUAGAACUCUUCUGUUUGAACCCAUUGCUCUCCACAAGUCCAGGAUGAUGAAACUGGAGAUGGAGGAUAGAAAGACUAGAGUGCUUCCUCUAAAUGCAUGAUCCUUUUGCUGGCACCCUGCUGCUGCUCUGUGGCAUCCUUAUACAUAAUGCAGAGGGCAGUCUACGAACGUAGCAGCUAGUGUGGGGCUCAGGACCCCUGCCAUGCCUCUCUGCUUGUUCAGACCCUUUGUUGAAAUGCCAUGAUCCAGCUCCAAGAUGCUGUUAACAUAGGGAAAAAAGGAGAAACGUC